rnacentral:tRNA from 1 species
GUCUUCGUGGUGUAGUGGUCAGCAAGCUCGUAUUCGAGAGGUCCGUGGUUCGAGUCCCGGCGAGGGCA